UACGAAGGGGACUAGCGUUGUUCGGAAUCACUGGGCGUAAAGCGCACGUAGGCGGAUGUGUCAGUCAGGGGUGAAAUCCCGGGGCUCAACCUCGGAACUGCCUUUGAUACAGCACGUCUCGAGUCCGGAAGAGGUGGGUGGAAUUCCUAGUGUAGAGGUGAAAUUCGUAGAUAUUAGGAAGAACACCGGUGGCGAAGGCGGCCCACUGGUCCGGUACUGACGCUGAGGCGCGAAAGCGUGGGGAGCAAACAGGAU
rnacentral:rRNA from 1 species